UACGAAGGGUGCUAGCGUUGUUCGGAAUCACUGGGCGUAAAGCGCACGUAGGCGGCUUUUUAAGUCAGGGGUGAAAUCCUGGAGCUCAACUCCAGAACUGCCUUUGAUACUGAGAAGCUUGAGUCCGGGAGAGGUGAGUGGAACUGCGAGUGUAGAGGUGAAAUUCGUAGAUAUUCGCAAGAACACCAGUGGCGAAGGCGGCUCACUGGCCCGGUACUGACGCUGAGGUGCGAAAGCGUGGGGAGCAAACAGG
rnacentral:rRNA from 1 species